rnacentral:lncRNA from 1 species
AGGAGGAUGAGUUCAGUCACUUCCAGGCCAUGUGAAGGCAGGUGUCCUACAGGUGACUGGACUUGGAGAAGGGCAGUGGGCUGCCUUUUGAGAGUGUCCCUGUCACUACAGGUGUGCAAACAGCUUCAGGACAAUCGCUGGCCUGGGAUAUCAUGGGCCGAUUUCAUACACCAGGUAGAAGGUUGGAGUUGACAACAGUUGAGGUACCUCUCAGCUGGGAGUUUCGGGGAGCAUUGGCUGGAAAGACGUCAUUGAGUGCAGUUCCUGAAGGUUCCACCGGCUCCAAACCAAGGAGGGGACAAAGGACUGACAUACUGAGCGUACCAUAUGGAAGGCUCUGUUGGGUAGUGCUAAGGAUGUCGGUGCGAAGUUGAAGACACAAUUCCUAAAGGCCUUCCCACCUUCCAAUCUCUGCAGCGUGCUGGGCCGUUUCUGCUGCCAGGGGUGCUCAUCCUCGAGCCUACCCAUCUCUUAAACUCCAACUCAGAAAGCCUGCUUGAAACAGCGCCAGCCACAUCUGACUCCUCUCCCCUUCGAAUGCCCAGCACAUUCAGUCUGUACCUUUCUCAUGGCACAGCGUGUGGCCUAUCUCAUAGUCUACUGAUCUGUUUACUAAUCCUGUUCUUAAAACCAGAUUAAAAAGUCCUUGAGGCAGAAACAAAGUCUGCCUCUUUGAGGCCUUCCCCCCACCCCAAUCAUUUGAGCUCAUCCCCCACAGGCCAAGUUUGGCACUGGAGUUUAUGUUCAAUAAAUGUUGGGUGUAUUGAAAUGAUUUCCUGCCCUUGGGCAGUUUGCAGACCUGUUGAAGAGACAAACACCCAGCUUGUGAGGUUAAAUUAUAACCCAAGGCAGCAGGUGGGGAGUACCAAAUGUUAAGAGCUAUAGGAACUCUGGAAGGAGGUGGUGAUAUGGGAGAAGGAUCCCAGGAGGUUCUAGACCUUGAGCUGUGUGUGGAGGAGGCGAGAGGAGGCGUGGAGGUGACUCAUUCUGGUUGACAUCACCACA